rnacentral:lncRNA from 1 species
CAAAACCCAAGUAGAAUGCAUCCUAGUCCUAUCUGAUCCGAAAAAUGCAAAUCAGAACUACUCAAGACCCUAUUCCUAUCCGCACAAACCUAACACGUUCUCUUAAAGCUCAAUCCCAAAAAUAGGCCUUCCAUUCAGAAUGAAAAUAAAGGUUUGAAGGAAAGAUAAGGUUUUUAGGGUGUGGUUAACUGGUCAAGGUUAUGACCA